rnacentral:rRNA from 1 species
CGUAGGGGGCAAGCGUUGUCCGGAAUCAUUGGGCGUAAAGCGCGUGUAGGCGGCCAGAAAAGUCCGCUGUGAAAACUCGAGGCUCAACUUCGAGCUGUCGGUGGAAACUUUCUGGCUAGAGUCCGGAAGAGGAGAAUGGAAUUCCUGGUGUAGCGGUGAAAUGCGCAGAUAUCAGGAAGAACACCCGUGGCGAAGGCGGUUCUCUGGGACGGUACUGGCGCUGAGACGCGAAAGCGUGGGGAGCGAACAGGAUUAGAUACCCUGGUAGUCCACGCCGUAAACGAUGGGUGCUAGGUGUGGGGGGUGUCGACUCCCUCCGUGCCGAAGCUAACGCAUUAAGCACCCCGCCUGGGGAGUACGGCCGCAGGGCUA